rnacentral:rRNA from 1 species
UACGUAGGGCGCAAGCGUUAUCCGGAAUUAUUGGGCGUAAAGAGCUCGUAGGCGGUUUGUCGCGUCUGCCGUGAAAGUCCGGGGGCUCAACUCCGGAUCUGCGGUGGGUACGAGCAGACUAGAGUGAUGUAGGGGGAGACUGGAAUUCCUGGUGUAGCGGUGAAAUGCGCAGAUAUCAGGAGGAACACCAAAUUGCGAAGGCAGCUCGCUGGGACGUUACUGACGCUGAUGCGCGAAAGCGUGGGGGAGCAAACAGG